CGUUCAGGGAUUGCCUCAGUAACGGCGAGUGAACGCCGAACAGCUCAGAUUUGUUUCCUGGCCGCCGGGGCGGAUUGUAAUCUGUAGAAGGUGCCUCCCCCCCGACUCCGGUCCAAGUUCCUUGGAACAGGGCGUCAUAGAGGGUGAGAAUCCCGUACGUGCCCGGCAGUCAUGCCCGUGACAGGCCCUUUCGACGACACGAGUUAUUUGGGAAUGCAGCUCUUUAAGGGUGGUUUUAACCAUCUAAAGCUAAAUACCGGCCAGAGACCGAUAGCGCACAAGUAGAGUGAUCGAAAGAUGAAAAGCACUUUGAAAAGAGAGUUAAAAAGUACGUGAACUUGUUGAAAGGGAAGCGCUUGCAACCAGACUCGCGCGCGGGUCAACAACCGUCCUUCGGGGCGGUGCGCUCUCCCGUGCCCGGGCCAGCAUCGGUUCGGGCGACCGGAUAAAGGUGGGCCCAACGUAGUUCUCUUCGGGGAAUGUUAUUCGGCGGGGCGCAAUGCGGCCAGCCCGGACCGAGGACCGCGCUUUUGCUAGGAUGCUGGCGUAAUGGUUCGGUCCGACCCGUCUUGAAACACGGACCAAGGAGUCGACCAACUCCGCGAGUGUUUGGGCGUUAAACCCAUGCGCGAAAUGAAAGUGAAUAUGGUACGAGCUUCGGCGCAGUAUCGACCGAUCUUGAAAUUUAUGGAUGGAAAACAGUAUGAGCGAAGUUGGUCGGACCCGAAAGAUGGUGAGCUAUGCGUGAAUAGGGUGAAGCCAGAGGUUUGUCUGGUGGAGGCUCGCAGCGGUUCUGACGUGCAAAUCGAUCGUCAAAUUUGCGUAUAGGGGCGAAAGACUAAUCGAACCAUCUAGUAGCUGGUUCCUGUCGAAGUUUCCCUCAGGAUAGCAGCAACGAACACAGUCUCAUGAGGUAGAGCGAACGAUUAGAGGCCUUGGGGCAGAAACUGCCUUAACCUAUUGAGCAACUUCGAAUAUGUGAGAAGUCCUUGUUACUUAGUUGAACGUGGACAUUUGGAUGAAUCGUUGCUAGUGGGCCAUUUUUGGUAAGCAGAACUGGCGAUGCGGGAUGAACCGAACGGGAUUUUACGGUGCCGGAAUGUACGCUCAUCAGACACCACAAAAGGUGUUAAUUCAUCUGGACAGCCGGACGGUGGCCAUGGAAGUCGGAAUCCGCUAAGGAGUGUGUAAUAACUCACCGGCCGAAUGAAUUAGCCCUGAAAAUGGAUGGCGCUCAAGCGUGCUACCUAUAAAUCCCCGCCAGGGUAGAAACGAUGCCAUGGCGAGUAGGCAGGCGUGGAGG
rnacentral:rRNA from 1 species